AUCGCAUUGAAACAUCAGUUCCUGUAUGAUCACUGAAGUUAAGCAACAUCAGGCCUGGUAAAUACCUAGAUGGGUGACAACUUGGGAAUACCAGGUGCUAUA